GUGGAUGUAGCCCAGUUGGUUAGAGCGCCAGGUUGUGGCCCUGGAGGCCGUGGGUUCGAGUCCCAUCAUCCACCCCA
rnacentral:tRNA from 1 species